GAUCAUAACGCUUAAAGUGGAAAUGACAGGAAACAAUGGAUAUAUUUAGAGCCAUUAGAUGAGAUCUUUCGCGACAAACCUUGGGUAAAACCAUUAUCUGUAGCAGGAUCGCAUACACGAGAUCCUGAAAAAUCUUUAUUUGAUGAUAAUGAACAGGAGCCAUCAACUAAACAAAGGAAGAUCUCAUUAAAUGAAGAAAGAGCUAAUUAUUUACGGGCAUCACUCGAAGAAAAAAGAAUAAAAAGAGAAGAAACUGCUAA